GCUGGGCAUGGUGGUGUAUGCCUGUAGUCCCAGCUACUCAGGAGGCUGGGGUGGGAGGACCGCUUGAGCCCAGGAGUUCUGGGCUGUAGUACACUAUGCUGAUCGGGUGUCUGCACCAAGUUCGGCAUCAAUAUGGUGACCUCCCGGGAGUGGGGGACCACCAGGUUGCCUAAGGAGGGGUGAACUGGCCCAGGUAGGAAACGAAGCAGGUCAGGACUCCUGUGCUGAUCAGUAGUGGGAUCGCACCUAUGAAUAGCCACUGCACUCCAGCCUGGGCAACAUAGCAAGACCCUGUCUCU
rnacentral:SRP_RNA from 1 species